GACGAACGCUGGCGGCGUGCUUAACACAUGCAAGUCGAACGCUGAAGCUCAGCUUUUGUUGGGUGGAUGAGUGGCGAACGGGUGAGUAACACGUGAGUAACUUGCCCCCUUCUUUGGGAUAACGCCCGGAAACGGGUGCUAAUACUGGAUAUUCACUGGUCUUCGCAUGGGGGUUGGUGGAAAGGGUUUUUCUGGUGGGGGAUGGGCUCGCGGCCUAUCAGCUUGUUGGUGGGGUGAUGGCCUACCAAGGCUUUGACGGGUAGCCGGCCUGAGAGGGUGACCGGUCACAUUGGGACUGAGAUACGGCCCAGACUCCUACGGGAGGCAGCAGUGGGGAAUAUUGCACAAUGGGCGCAAGCCUGAUGCAGCGACGCCGCGUGAGGGAUGGAGGCCUUCGGGUUGUGAACCUCUUUCGCUCAUGGUCAAGCCGCAACAAUGGUUGUGGUGAGGGUAGUGGGUAAAGAAGCGCCGGCUAACUACGUG
rnacentral:rRNA from 1 species